GGUAAACACCGGUUCUCGUUCGAUCUCCGAAGUUAAGAAGAGUCGCCCCUGGUCAUUACUAAGAUAAGGGACGGAUUGUGAAUAACGGGUACUGUAAG